rnacentral:tRNA from 1 species
GGGUGUAUAGCUCAAUGAUAGAGCACAUGCUUAGCGUGCACGAGGUCCUGGGUUCAAUCCCCAGUACUGCCC